GGGGCAGCCCGGGGGCGGGCGAGGGCCAUUGUUCGCCGUCCGAGCUGCCGGCAUUGGAGCGGGCUCCGGAGGAGCAGCCGGGAGCCCGAUCCUCAGGGAGUCCCGUUGGCAGUGCGCCCUCCCAGCGGGUGCCCGGCGCUACCCGAUGAGCCUGCUCCCGUCCCGCUGCCCCAGCCGCGGCGGGGAGUGUCUGGGGGAUUGAGGCUGCUGCUCGGGCUGUUCGAUGCCCUCCUUGUCCGCGCACCAAUGGUGCUGGGGGCAGGGGUUUCCCUUUCCGGCAGCGCCAUUGUGCCGGGAGAGCCCGCUGGCUCCUGCUGUCCCUCGCGGGUGUGAACUGGGAAUGGGCUCCGGCGAGAGGGACUCGGCUCCGGCAGACACCGCUCCUGGCAAUGGUAAAUCGUAGAGUCGUUCAGGUUGGAAAAUAUCUAAGAUUCUCAAAUCCAGUCGUUAAUCCAGCACUGUCAAGUCCAUAGCGUACAAGGAGACAAGAUGAACAAACAGUGCUCUCCAGGGGCAGUUGGGAUAAACAGGAUCAGCGGAGAUACUGCGGUCCCAUCAUCUAUAAAUGUAGUUUGGUCAUAGACAAGUAAUCUUCUGGGGUGGGAUAAUAAAUCCAAAUAUACACACCGUCCCUUAAAAAUACGGUGUGAUAAUAUGUUGAUGGAGUGUCGGCUAGCUUUCUUUUUCCCUUUUCCAACAAAGUAUAGAUAAAUUAGAUCAUUUUUUACAGGCAUUAAGGCAUGUUCCACUCACCAGACAACACUUUCCUACAGCUUGUUACCAGCUGCUGUUCCACAAUAUAGAGACUUCUGCCACAAACACUGAAGCUUGCCCUGGGGGAAAAAAAGAACAAACCAUAAAAACAAACCACAAAACCAAAACCUUAUCUUCUACAAGGCAUUUUAUUGAGUUAUCUGAUUAAUGUCUCAGUGAAAUACACAGUAUUGCAUCCCCCAACUACAUACAGCUCUUCAUUUAUAUAUUAAAUAGUAGUGACAAUAAUCAAACAAUUACAAGGCUACUGUAAAACAGUAUUGUGUCAGAUUAGAUUUGGAAAGCUGCGUUUUUCUACCUUUUUUUUCCACCCUUUUAACAUUAAGAAAAACAUUAAGACAAUUUUAAAUACCAAACUGAAGAAACAAAAGGAAGACAAGCAAGAAGCAGAUUCUGCUCAUCCAGGAUGUGUAUUUGACUAGAAUAGUGCUCUUCUGAGAAGCAGCUAAACCCUGUGGAAUAAGGGGUGGAGAAUGUGAUAGUUUUGGCUGCAACAGAGUUAAUUUUCUUCACAGUAGGUACUAGCAGGAACAUGGAACUUAACAAUAGCAUAAUGAAACUGCAGUGAACUUCUGGAUGUGAAUUUGCCCAACCCGUGGUUCAUUCUUCAUGCCUGAGAAGGGUUCUGGUAGCCUUGAGGAACUGAAAGGUAAUAUGAGCCAGGCUGGAGACACACAGGGACUCAACACAUGCAGCUCCAUUGGAUUCUAGCUGUGAGGGUACUCCUGUAGCCCAAAUAUUAAAUAUUGAAAUCUGAGAGAAACCUUUAAAUUAAGAUGAAAUGUUUUGCAGUCAUAUAGAGAUGUUAUCAGCUUUGAUCAGCUCUUUUCUUGCAGAAAAAGAAUUAUUGAGAAAGUGGUAAUAUGCACUGUUGCAUAUUACCAUGAUGCAGCUGUUUAAAAGAUGACAUCUUUUUAUUCAACAGGUUCUGCUCCUCUGGGUGAGGGACUGUGCUCAUUAGUCUUUCUUUUAGAACAGGAUUUGAAGCCAAGUACCUAAAAUCUUAGUGGUAGAAUUGUGCAACCUUUUUUAUGUCCACACAUCUGCAUUCUUCCUGAUUCCAGUAAUGCUGUUCUCUCUUUGUCUAGGUGCAUCUCUGGAAGGUAGAAAUAAAGGAAUGAUCCUUGCUUUUUGGUUAAGUAGGUACUUACCAGGAAACAAAUAUCUCUGAACAUGCAAGAGAUGUUAUGUUCAUAUUUGUCCAUUCAGGAGCCCACACUGUUUGUUCCUCUGAAAAGAGAGUACCAUGCAAAGUACAUUUUGUGUGUUAUGUACUGUCAAUAAACGUUUCCAUUAUUGAGCAUUGAUAGGAUAAAACCAGGAAGAAAAGCACUUUGUACUCCAAAUUAAACUUCAAAUGGCAAGGACCAAUAAAGACACCUUAAUGAAUGCUUUUUAAAAGACCUCAAGUGAGGAUUGAGAGAAAUAGAGUAAUAAGAACAGAAUAAUAGUGUCAUUUUAAGGGCAUUUGAGAACAAGAUCACAUUUAUAUCACAUUUCUGAGAAGUGUAAGCCAAGAACAGCAGCCUUGCCCUUCAUCUGCCUCUAAAUACAAACUGCUGCCCUCUCAGUUGCCCUCUGCUUUAGGCUGACAAAGGCAUUCUCAUUGCUGUGCAGCAAAACAGUUUGAAUUAGUCUGGAUUAAAAUUAAUCAUGACUAUUUUUUCUUUCAAGUGAACUUUGAAGUGGACCCAUUCUCCCAUUUAGCUCAUUGCUUGGCAAAGCAAAUACUUAUACUGGCAGCAGGCAGGGAGCAACAAAGGGACAAGAGCAAGCAUUUGGGAACAGAGAAAGGGCAGGACUGUUCUUUUUGGCAGCAGUGCUAUUCUGCUUCCAGAAUUGCAGUGUUAAAGCAUCUCAUUCCAACUCUGUUAGGUUAUUUCUGCUUAUGCUAACAGAACCGAAGCAGAGCAAGCUAUGUUGGGUGGGAGGCUUGAACAAGGCAAUCAAACCCCACACUGUUACAGUGGCCAGGGUGUUCAUUGCUAAUGAGGGCUCGAGUAGUAAAUAGUUUAAAAGCCAACAGUGGAGCAAUCAGUCAUGCAGCUUUUGUGAAGCGAUGUGGAGACCAAAUUCAGAUUUGUGCUGCAGCUGGUUAGCACUGCACUGCCGACACAAAGCAGUUCUAAAGCCAAGGUAGCCAAUUAAUGCAGGCAACUGGCAUAGCAUGUCUUAUACCAUUGCUUUCCUGGCAGCUGGUUUCUUUGUCUGAAAAGAGAGUGUAGUCAGAUCAUCCCUGGUCUGAGACUCUCUUAUCUGUCCCAGGGGCUCUUAUUUGUUGGUACAGUCCUGAGCCUAUAUAUAUCUCAUUUAAAAUUGCCGUAAGAGCAGCAUAGGAGUGAAUGUUUACACCUUCAGGCUGCUUCAGCUCUGAGCGAGGUGUGGGGUCUUCAGCUGCACAACUUUCCUUGUUCCACAAAUAUGCCCUCUAACAAAGAAAGCCAGGAAAAGCAACUACCUUUCAGUAAAAGAAAAAUAUUCUCUUUAUUGUUUAUGUAUAUUGGAAUACUUGCUAAGCUUAAAAGACGUAUUUGAUGGAAAUGAGAAAUUGCUUGUGAUUUGGAAUACGCAAAGCACUUGAUAGCUAUCUGAUCAUGUAACAGUGCAUAGAAAGUUCACUUCCUAGGGCUCUCUGGGCAGAAAAAGCUACAUAUCUUAUUAAGGAGGUGCUUAAAGCAUGUAAUUACCUCAUCUCUUUCCAUGAACAUAGAGUAUCUUUCACACGAUCAAAAAUUCACCUCCAUUAUGCAACUAAUGCUUUUUCAGUCAAGAUGAGCAUGCUUGAUGGUUCCCAGUGUGAUUAGUGGUAGGAUGAGAUGUGUGCUCACCUGAGCCAGUGUCCUGGCAGGAAGCCCACCAUGUUGAGAGAAAUUCUGUUGUGGUGGCACAGAACUGCUAGAGGAUUCACCAAAGGACUCCUGAGAGGGUGCACUGACCUGUAGCCUGCUCACAUCACUGUUUCCAGGAAACUGAAAAACAAGGAGGAGGCCUGAGGCUGGGAACUGUUCUCACUGCUUCUGCAAGUGACCAGCACAAGGGAAAAGUGAGAAUUCAUAAUGCACGAUGACCUUAUCUUAAUUACCAUUGUAUGAUAUUAAAAGGACAAUUUUUCUGAGGCAGCUAAACACCUGUAGACCCCAGGGAUGCAUGUGUUACCAAUCCAUGGGUCUGAGCAGCAUUCCUUACACUUGUAAAAUCAUAUUGCUGGAUUGUCACAUUUGGCUAAAAGAAUUUACUGACAAGAGUUGAUGAAGAGAUGUGUUCCCUAUGUGUUUGCUCAUACUGAUGAUGAUUCUGGGUUCAUGAAAUACGAAGUUCAAGGUGUUCUUUCUGCAAUCAACAUGCUGUGGGAAGCAAUGAAACUGAAAAAUUUCUGCUCAUUCCCCAUACCAGCCUUAGAAUGAAAUUUUGAACUCAAGAAGAAAAAUGUGCAGUUUCUUUUGUUUGUGCAGCUUUUAAUCAUAUUUGUAUAGGUAAGAAGUGUUUGAAAUUAUUACAAAGUUCUACCUCUUGAUUACUUCAAGUCUCUAUUGCAUGAGAGGAUUUUUUUAAGGCUAUGGACCCACAUUUCUAGCAAAAUUCUCUGUAUUUAAAAUCUGCCCAUUGCCUCAUAUAGCAUUCUUUUUGCACGUUUCUAUUCCUUCAGCUUUUCUACUCAUCUGUUACAAACAAUUAAAUCACUGGAUUUUUCAUUGUUUGAAAUAACUGGUUGCAUUACCAUCUGGAAACAAUACAUUUUAAGUGCAUAAUUACGGAUGUUUGAAAUCCCAGGAACCCAACUUUAUAUGCACAGGACUAGAAGGCAGCACACUCGGAAAUGGGAAAUGUAUUGUCAGCUGUGUGAUGAACAGUUAAGAGGAAAGGAGGAGCAACUCCACCAUUUGUCUGCUGUCUUCAUGCCACUAGCCUGAGAAAGCUAAAUUGAGAUUUGACUGCAGAGCAAAAGGGAAUGUUUUUGACCGCUCUCACUUGCACUGAAUUUUAAUGAUUGCAGUGGCACAAGGGGACCCUAGCUGAGCUGUAGCCUCUAAGUCCUCACCCUUCUUAUUGUAAGGCUGGAAAUCUGACUUUACACUAGUUUCCAGGAAGUGCAGAGAUGAAGCACAUUACACAACAGGACUGUGGAGUAUAACCAUGUGCAUAAUAACUUCAUGGUGCACAAUGUUUCAUUAUUCUGAAACAGAAGCUGCAAUAUUGGAUAUUGAAUGUCUGCAAAAUAAGAAUAACUCAAAGACACAACAGUUAGUCAAAACUUAGCUAAAGCACUGGCUAUUAGCUAAAUUUUGACAAGUCUAAAUGGCUGAUUCCGUCCUCUUUCCUACCCUUCCUUUCUCUACAUAUGACCUAUUUCACAAUGUAUUCAUUCACCAAAUGUAUUCCAACUGAAAAUAGUUGGAUAGGUCCUCAUGCUUCACCAAUAUCAGCUGCAGGCCCAGCUCAGCCUCAGAAAUCACAUCAGAGCAAGUACUUCAUACUGAUGAAAAGGCAUCAAGCCUUUUAAUAACUAAAAGGCUUUAAUAACUAACUUUUAAACUAAAAUAAUAAUAAUAAUGAUAAUAAUAAUGAUAAUAAUAGUAAUAAGUAAAGGAGUUCAUUACAUACAAGCCCAAACACACCAUCAAAUGUAAAUUCUACUUAGCUUUUUUUUGUAGUGUCUUUAUUCCCACUUCUUCAUUAUCUUUCUGAAUUUUCUUCCCUAGGAUUACUUUGCACUGAAAGACAUUUAGCUUCUAGUUCUAUCAAGUUAUUGUCUGACAGGGCACACAUCCCUCCAUUCCCCUACUAUCAAAUUUCAGUACUAGUUGGCUGAGAAGAAAACCUCAAACCUCCGAUCUGCAUAAAUGUCUCCUUGAUUAAAAGUAUUCCUCCUAAAUCAACAAGUUAAAAUCCAUACAACCAAGUUUACCUAUGUGAAAUUUAUUUCUCCAUUUCCAAAUCAGUCUACUUCAGGGCAAUAAACCAUGCCUCUUCUGUUCAGUUUUGUAAUGCACAUAUCAUUUUUGUUUGAAUUAAUGUAUAAAGUGCACAUGCAAAAUCAAUAUAUCAGAUUUCCUAAAACCCACAUGUGGAAUUAGCUUUUCACACCAGUAAUUCCCACACACACCCCAGCUUUGCUUUACCAGCAGCUCGUUACAGCCAGGUAAAACUGCAAGAGUACAGUUCAUUGAAUGAGAGCAUUAGACAUAGGACAAGAAGGCCUUGACACAGUGAAUGGAAAGGGACUAACAUAUUGCAUUAAAAAGAGAACAAAACCUAUUUUAAAAUAAAAGUCAAAAGAAAUCCUGAUUUCAGUUGGAAAAAACCAAACAUGCCCAAGCAUCUGUCGGUAGGAUAACUAGCUUUACACUCUUGGGUAUUGAGAAAGAGCCUUUCCAACUCCCUCAGACUGUGUAUGUUUUAUUGUAUAAAGAUAGAUGCCCUGCACUGCACUAAGCCUGCACAAUAUAUUGCUAAAAGUUGUAUAUAAUGCCAGAUGUUUCUAAACAUUUUAAAAUAUUUGUAUAUAUUUUCUUAAAUAAAUAAGAUUCAGAAAAAAUCAAAAUGGGAGAAACAAUCAAACUGAAUAAAGGCAUUUCUUUUUCUCUUUGGAAUAAAAUAAAUGGCAUCUAUUGACUCAUGAUACCCUGACUGAGACACAUAUAAGAAAGAAUGUGAUUAAACAGCAUUCAUUUGGUGCAUUGUUUAUGUAUUCAGCUCUGAUUAUAAUGUUCCAAAGACAAUAAAUCAUUGAUUUUAAUUUACUUUAUUGUGCUAAAGAAAAGAGUAAAUUAAAUGUAGAAUUUAUUUAUCCUUUCUCUUGUACUCUGUAAUAAUCCAGAUGGAGCAUAUACAUUUUCUAUUUAAUGACACUAGCAUGAUUAAGCAUUAAGACUUAAUGAGUAGUGCAUUUUUUAUGGUUCAUUAAUAAAAGUUAGAGAUAGAAAAGAUGUAUUGGUCAUCAGCUUUAUCUUCUUACUGUGUUUGUACAUUUAUUAAACAGUCAGUAAAUUUGUUUAUA